rnacentral:rRNA from 1 species
UGUAUGGUAUCAGUUCGUUGGUGAGGUAAUGGCUCACCAAGACUAUGACGCCUAACUGGUUUGAGAGGAUGAUCAGUCACACUGGAACUGAGACACGGUCCAGACUCCUACGGGAGGCAGCAGUGGGGAAUAUUGCACAAUGGACGAAAGUCUGAUGCAGCAACGCCGCGUGGAGGAUGACACAUUUCGGUGCGUAAACUCCUUUUAUAUAGGAAGAUAAUGACGGUACUAUAUGAAUAAGCACCGGCUAACUCCGUGCCAGCAGCCGCGGUAAUACGGAGGGUGCAAGCGUUACUCGGAAUCACUGGGCGUAAAGAGCGUGUAGGCGGGUAUAUAAGUCAGAAGUGAAAUCCUAUAGCUUAACUAUAGAACUGCUUUUGAAACUGUAUACCUAGAAUGUGGGAGAGGUAGAUGGAAUUUCUGGUGUAGGGGUAAAAUCCGUAGAGAUCAGAAGGAAUACCGAUUGCGAAGGCGAUCUACUGGAACAUUAUUGACGCUGAGACGCGAAAGCGUGGGGAGCAAACAGGAUUAGAUACCCUGGUAGUCCACGCCCUAAACGAUGUACACUAGUUGUUGUGAGGCUCGACCUUGCAGUAAUGCAGUUAACACAUUAAGUGUACCGCCUGGGGAGUACGGUCGCAAGAUUAAAACUCAAAGGAAUAGACGGGGACCCGCACAAGCGGUGGAGCAUGUGGUUUAUUUCGACGAUACACGAAGAACCUUACCUGGACUUGACAUAGUAAGAACUUUCUAGAGAUAGAUUGGUGUCUGCUUGCAGAAACUUAUAUACAGGUGCUGCACGGCUGUCGUC